CCAGUAAUCAUAUGCUUGUUUCAAAGAUUAAGCCAUGCAAGUGUAAGUACAGCUGAUAAAAACAGUGAAACCGCAAAUGGCUCAUUAAAUCAGUCACAUUUUAAUAGAUCAUACGAUCUUACUUGGAUAACUGUGGUAAUUCUAGAGCUAAUACAUGCCAAGAGUCUUCUCCUCUUCGGGGGAAGGAGCGCACUUAUUAGACCAAAACCAAACUUGGCUCCGGCCUUGUGACGGUGUGGUGACUCUGGAUAAUUUUGCGGAUCGCAUGGUCCUAGUACCGGCGACGUAUCUUUCAAUUGUCUGCCUUAUCAACUUGAUGGUAGGUUAAAUGCCUACCAUGGUUGUAACGGGUGACGGGGAAUCAGGGUUCGAUUCCGGAGAGGGAGCCUGAGAGACGGCUACCACAUCCAAGGAAGGCAGCAGGCACGUAAAUUACCCAAUCCCGGCACGGGGAGGUAGUGACGAAAAAUAACGAUGCGGGACUCUUACGAGGCCCCGUAAUUGGAAUGGGGGUUGCUUAAACAACCUAUCCCACAAACUAUUGGAGGGCAAGUCUGGUGCCAGCAGCCGCGGUAAUUCCAGCUCCAAUAGCGUAUAUUAAAGCUGUUGUGGUUAAAAAGCUCGUAGUUGGAUGUCACUCAAAGCCGGGCGGUCCGCCUUAAUGGUGGGAAUCCUGCACGUGCGGAGAGUACUUGGCCGGCUGCCCACGAUGCUCUUAGCCGGGUGUCGGUUGCGGAGGGCCGGCCGAGUUACUUUGAAAAAACUGAAGUGCUCAAAGCAAGCAAAGCUUGGACACUCAAGCAUGGAAUAACGGAAUACGACCUCUGGGUCUAUUUUGUUGGUAUCCGGACGUGGAGGUAAUGAUUGACUGGGACUGCCGGGGGCAUCCGUAUUGCAGCGCGAGAGGUGAAAUUCUUGGACCGUUGCAAGACGACCUAGAGCGAAAGCAUUUGCCAAGAAUGUCUUCAUUAAUCAAGAACGAAAGUUAGAGGUUCGAAGGCGAUCAGAUACCGCCCUAGUUCUAACCAUAAACGAUGCCAACCAACAAUUAGCGAGCAUUCCUCGAUAUGAUGCUGCUGGCAGCUUCCGGGAAGCCAAAGAUUUUGGGUUCCAGGGGAAGUAUGGUUGCAAAGCUGAAACUUAAAGGAAUUGACGGAAGGGCACCACCAGGAGUGGAGCCUGCGGCUUAAUUUGACUCAACACGGGGAACCUCACCCGGCCCGGACACUUGAAGGAUUGACAGAUUGAGAGCUCUUUCUCGAUUCAGUGGAUGGUGGUGCAUGGCCGUUCUUAGUUGGUGGAGUGAUUUGUCUGGUUAAUUCCGAUAACGAACGAGACUCGAGCCUAUUAAAUAGGCGGAGGAUAGUAAGGUCCUCUACGCUCUUCUUAGAGGGACAGGCGGCUUUCAGCCGUACGAAAUAGAGCAAUAACAGGUCUGUGAUGCCCUUAGAUGUCCGGGGCCGCACGCGGGCUACACUGAAGGAAUCGGUUGGUGUUCAUCCCUGCUCCGUAAGGACUGGGUAACCCGCCGAAACUCCUUCGUGAA
rnacentral:rRNA from 1 species